rnacentral:rRNA from 1 species
UCUCGCCUACGGGAGGCAGCAGUGGGGAAUAUUGGGCAAUGGGCGCAAGCCUGACCCAGCAACGCCGCGUGAAGGAAGAAGGCUUUCGGGUUGUAAACUUCUUUUAAGAGGGAAGAGCAGAAGACGGUACCUCUUGAAUAAGCCACGGCUAACUACGUGCCAGCAGCCGCGGUAAUACGUAGGUGGCAAGCGUUGUCCGGAUUUACUGGGUGUAAAGGGAGUGUAGGCGGGAAAGCAAGUCAGAAGUGAAAACUAUGGGCUUAACCCAUAGCCUGCUUUUGAAACUGUUUUUCUUGAGUGAAGUG